rnacentral:rRNA from 1 species
AUACGUAGGGGGCGAGCGUUGUCCGGAAUUAUUGGGCGUAAAGGGCGUGUAGACGGUCAUAUAAGUUACAGGUGAAAGCCCAUUUUUCAAGGAUGGAACUGCCUGUAAGACUGUAAGACUUGAGUGCAGGAGAGGGAAGCGGAAUUCCAAGUGUAGCGGUGAAAUGCGUAGAUAUCAGGAGGAACACCGGUGGCGAAGGCGGCUUACUGGGCUUUUACUGACGCUGAGGCUCGAAAGCGUGGGGAGCAAACAGGAUUAGAUACCCUGGUAGUCCACGCUGUAAACGAUGAUUACUAGGUGUGGGGGGACUGACCCCUUCCGUGCCGCAGUUAACACAAUAAGUAAUCCACCUGGGGAGUACGGCCGCAAGGUUGAAACUCAAAUGAAUUGACGGGG